rnacentral:rRNA from 1 species
AACGAACGCUGGCGGCAUGCCUAACACAUGCAAGUCGAACGAGACCUUCGGGUCUAGUGGCGCACGGGUGCGUAACGCGUGGGAACCUGCCCUUAGGUUCGGAAUAACUCCCCGAAAGGGGUGCUAAUACCGGAUAAUGUCUUCGGACCAAAGAUUUAUCGCCUUUGGAUGGGCCCGCGUUGGAUUAGCUAGUUGGUAGGGUAAAAGCCUACCAAGGCGACGAUCCAUAGCUGGUCUGAGAGGAUGAUCAGCCACACUGGGACUGAGACACGGCCCAGACUCCUACGGGAGGCAGCGGUGGGGAAUAUUGGACAAUGGGCGAAAGCCUGAUACAGCAAUGCCGCGUGAGUGAUGAAGGCCUUAGGGUUGUAAAGCUCUUUUACCCGGGAUGAUAAUGACAGUACCGGGAGAAUAAGCUCCGGCUAACUCCGUG